UACGUAGGGGGGCGAGCGUUGUCCGGAAUCAUUGGGCGUAAAGCGCGUGUAGGCGGCCCGGUAAGUCCGCUGUGAAAGUCCAGGGCUCAACCCUGGGAUGCCGGUGGAUACUGUCGGGCUCGAGUCCGGAAGAGGCGAGUGGAAUUCCUGGUGUAGCGGUGAAAUGCGCAGAUAUCAGGAGGAACACCAAUGGCGAAGGCAGCUCGCUGGGACGUGACUGACGCUGAGACGCGAAAGCGUGGGUAGCAAACAGG
rnacentral:rRNA from 1 species